UCUGGCGUGCCCCGCGCCCCCGACAACCCCGCAUAACAACCUCUCCGAUCCCCGGACUAGCCAUGAGCAGUCACGCCGGGCCAACCAUCUGAGCCAUCUUUAUGUUCGGUUGGGAGGAAACCCGCUACCUCAGUGGCCAAGUGUGUAAAGCUCUGAGAGUCAAUGCAAAGAAGACCUAAAAACAUGCUCUCUCCAACUCCGUCUUCCAAUACCAGGAACCAAGAGUCUUGUCUGUGCUGAAGGACAUAUUGGCAUCCAUGGAAAAGUGAUAGCUCUCCAGCAGGAUGUGCUGUGUAGAAUGUACAAGAUGUCUGGGAUUCUUACUCAUCCCUCUGAUUUCGUUGGGUUUUCUGACAAAUAUCCUGCUCUUCUUCCCUGCAAUGUCACCUCUGGAAUUGCAUAAACUUUCUGAUGAAGUCAAAUACUCUGGAGGAAUAAUCGGGUGUGGGAUAAUAAUGCUCAUUACUCCUUUCUCAUUUCUGCGUUUGGGGAAAAGUAACACGAAGACAUGUUGUGGGGUGAGGCAUCGGAUGUUUAUCUCCAUAAUAACUGCCAUAAUUGGAAUUGUAGGAGCUUCAUAUGGAAUGAUAAUAGCGUGGAUUGCUAUUAAAAAGGGUCCCAAGUGUGAUGUAGGAGAUGAUCACUGGGAAUAUCCCUUCGAAGAAUGGGACUAUCUGAGUGAUACAUUCUUGUGGGGGAAGUGCUAUAAACCUGCUGGCAUUGUGACCUGGAACUUGACUCUCUUCUCCAUCCUCCUGGGAGUAAGUUCUGCUGAGUUGGUAAUCUGUGGGAUUCAAGUGGUAAACGGCGUCCUUGGAAUGGUUUUCGGGCAGUGGACAUGAGAUGAAUAUUGUUAGGGUAAAUAAUCUGCUUAAAGCUCCAUGAAGAGCCUUUUGUCACCUUUGACUACCCUGACAGAAGAGCCAUCAUCUUUGGAAGUUUCCAAAGGCUCCACUGCCCAUUUCCUGAGAAGGAGUUAUACAAGGCAAUCUUACUAAUCUCUCGUCCAAGCAACAGCUCAUGAAAUGCUAUGUUGAAAAAAUUCAUUCAAAUAAAUACAAAAGCAGGAAAAUCAGUUAAUUCUUGAAUA